UAACUUUAUGUAAGUGAAAUUUUUACAAAAACUAUUAAUAGAGAGAGGUGAGGGAUUGUAAGUAAUUUUAUAUUUAAGAUCUUUAUAUGUUGGUAGAAAGAUAUUUUGAAAAUAUUUUCUUUCUUUAUUAUUAUUAUUAUAUGUAAUUAAGAUGUUAUUUAUCAUUUGAAUUGUAAGCUAAUUAAUUAUAACAAUAAAAUUUCUACUGAUAUAUAAAGUUAUAUGAAAUUAGUAUUAAGGAAAAAAGAUAUUGAGAGGCUAAUUUUAGUAUGUGUUUAUCUAUUUAUUUAUUUUUUUUUGAGAGAUAGGUAGCACGUUACCUGCUUCGUUUAUUUUAUUUAGAAAUAAACUUAGAUAGAAAUGUGUUUAUGUAUUUACGUUACCUGCUUCGUUUAUUUUAUUUAGAAAUAAACUUAGAUAGAAAUGUGUUUAUGUAUUUGUGAUUUUAAUACUGGUAUUUGAUUUAUCUUUGAAUCAAUA
rnacentral:lncRNA from 1 species